rnacentral:rRNA from 1 species
AGCGGAGGUAUAUGGAGCUUGCUUUAUAUAACUUAGCAGCGAACGGGUGAGUAACACGUAGAUAAUCUAUCCUAUACUGGGGGAUAGCCCGAUGAAAGUUGGAUUAAUACCGCAUAUAGCUAUAUAGUUGCAUGAUUAUGUAGUGAAAGAUUUAUUGGUAUAGGAGGAGUCUGCGGCACAUUAGCUAGUAGGUGAGGUAAAGGCUUACCUAGGCGACGAUGUGUAGCCGGUCUGAGAGGAUGAACGGCCACAAUGGAACUGAGACACGGUCCAUACUCCUACGGGAGGCAGCAGUGGGGGAUAUUGCACAAUGGAGGAAACCCUGAUGCAGCAACGCCGCGUGAGUGAAGAAGGUUUUCGGAUUGUAAAGCUCUGUUAGCAGGGAAGAGGAAGGACGGUACCUGCAGAGGAAGCCACGGCUAACUACGUGCCAGCAGCCGCGGUAAUACGUAGGUGGCAAGCGUUGUUCGGAAUAACUGGGCGUAAAGGAUGCGUAGGCGGUUAAACAAGUUAUAUGUUAAAUAUAUAGGCUUAACCUGUAGAAGGCAUAUAAAACUGUUUAACUAGAGUGCAGGAGAGGUAAGUGGAAUUCCUAGUGUAGCGGUGAAAUGCGUAGAGAUUAGGAAGAACACCAGUGGCGAAGGCGACUUACUGGACUGUAACUGACGCUGAGGCAUGAGAGCAUGGGGAGCAAACAGGAUUAGAUACCCUGGUAGUCCAUGCUGUAAACG